CUCCGUGUCUGUUCUUUACAGCGGAUGCACUUGGUGGGGCCGGUGGCAGCAAGAGCUCUAGGUAGCAGUUAGGAAAGUCCCUAGGAUCAGAGGGGAAGAUGCAUGCUUAACUGUGUCGCAGCGUGCAGGCCAGGACCCUGCGUUGCUGACCUGUCAGAACAGGGGCUGUGUUCCAUAGCUUGGGAAACAAGCCCUCUACUUCCCACAGAAACUGUGCUAGGCCCUGCAGUGUGGCGCUGAGCAUGCCCCAUUUUACACAGAGCACACGGACCUCCAUGGGCCGCAGUGUGUGAGGCAGGGUGGCUGUGAUGUGACCUUCCACAUCUGAUUUAUUCACAGCAAAUCAGACUCCCUGUGAGGAUGAGGAUGCACUGAAGCCAGAGGCCCCCAGGAAACUGAUGAUCGGGGAUCAGCGACGGUAACUGUGGUGACAGGGAGACCUCGUGUGCACAUCCCAGCGGGCACAGAUGUCCUGGGUUCACCUGUUCUUCCCAUCACGGGCCACAAAUGGGCGUUUAAGGAAUGUUGCUCACUUUGUUUGGUUUUCUUAUAUCGCAUGUCACUUCUUAUUAAUUUCCUAAGUUACCCAAAAGACAAAUCAGGGACCAACUCAGUGCUCAUGGCUUCAGCCUUCACACCUAUGUGACCAGUUCUCUACGAUGAAAGCAGGAUAGGAAGGCAGGACUGGUCUCUGCAUUCGGAUCCUUAGUUCUUUGCCACAUUUUUCAUAAGCAGAAAGCGAAUUAUUAAGAAAAACUUUGACCAAGCCUAGUGUCUUUGUAUAGAGGGGCUCAAGAGCUCACUUGCUUUGCCUGUGAAUACUGCAGACCUUUCAUGCCCUAGUCACCGCUCAUGUGGAGGUUUCCCUUGGAAGAGCUCCCCUGGGAUGUGCUCAGAGAAUGCCCUCCCCACGUGCCUGUCGCUAUCUGGGCCCCAUUUACACUCCUCUAGGCCCCCCUUCCUCUGGACAUGGUGUGUCACGAUCCAGGACAAUGCCCGGAAGCUGACCCAACACCGUGAGCAGCUACGGAAAGGGAAAGAGGCUGCCUUCUCCCUUGGACAGUGUCUCCGGCGCCUCUUUACCCAGGAAGAAACUGCUCGUGCGGUUCAGCGACACAGAGAGGAACUGGUGGAGGCCUGCAAGCUGGCCGACCACCUUGUCCUGCAGCUGCACAUAGCAAACUGUGGAAGCAGGACAGAUGAGGAAGAGAAAGAGCCACUUUACCAAGUGGACGAUCAGAGCAGCGAUUUCAGCUUCCUGAUUCAGGCUCAGGCCCGAGAGCUGACCCAGUUAAGGAAGAAGUUGGAGGCAGGAAGAAAUGUCGCAUUCAUCCUCCAAAGACAUCUCAAAGACCUCAUCACGGAUAAUGACUUUGGUGAAUCCCAAGGGCAGAGCCUCCUACAGCUGGCAGAGUGGCGCAGGCUGGCUGAGCGCCUGACCCUCCAGCUCGGCUCAGAGCACCACUGCGACACGGAGGACGAGGAAGAAACAGAGUCCCUGGACUCCAGGUGACCAGCAUGGUCAGGGCUGUGAGCCAGUGACGGGAGCGGGGG
rnacentral:lncRNA from 1 species